rnacentral:misc_RNA from 1 species
GGCUUCUUUCUUGCAGAGAGAGGAUGAGUUGCUUUCUUCUUGGUGGGAAGAGUAUGGGGAGUGCAGUGUGGGUCCAAAGGGGGCACCAAAUAGAUUCAAUUCUGCAUCAGAAAUAUCUUCUCCGGAGAGCUCUCAAGCACAUGAAGAUUUAGUUGAAGAAGAAAGAGUUGGAGUCCCUGUUAAGGGGGGCCUGUAUGAGGUAGAUUUGGUAAAGAGACACUGUUUUCCUGUUUACUGGAAUGGAGAAGAUCGUCGUGUCUUAAGAGGUCACUGGUUCGCUCGUAAAGGGGGUCUGGAUUGGCUUCCACUACGUGAAGAUGUUGCUGAGCAGUUGGAGUUUGCAUAUCGGAGUAAGGUUUGGCAUAGAAGAACCUUUCAGCCGUCAGGGCUCUAUGCAGCUCGAGUUGAUAUGCAGGGUUUCGCCCCGGGACUGCAUGCUAUUUUCACUGGAGAAGAUGAUACUUGGGAAGCCUGGCUUAAUGCUGAUGCCUCUGGUUUCUCAGGUGCUAUAGGAUUUGGGGGGAAUGGUGUUAAGCUAAGGCGUGGAUAUGCUCUUCCUCAGUCCCCGAAACCAACACAGGACGAAGUACGUCAACAGAAGGAGGAAGAAAUGGAUGAUUACUGCUCACAGGUUCCUGUUCGACAUCUGGUGUUCAUGGUUCACGGGAUUGGUCAAAGGUUGGAAAAAUCAAAUCUUGUGGAUGAUGUUAGUGACUUCCGCCAUAUUACGUCAAUCCUGGCUGAACGACACUUAACCUCAUACCAACGUGGCACUCAGAGAGUUCUGUUCAUCCCAUGCCAGUGGAGGAAGGGCUUAAAGC